UUGCGGCCACAUUAUGUUGAAACAUUGGUUCCCGUAAGAUCACUGAAAUUAAGCAACGUUGUGCUUGGUUAGUACCUAGAUGGGUGACCGCUUGGGAAUACCAGGUGCUGUAA